AAUCCUUAUGAUGACUAAAUGAAUAAAAAUGUUAAAAGUAGUGACUGAUAUUGAUGAAACUUUCAGCUCCGAGGGAUU
rfam:Arabis alpina cultivar Pajares chromosome 7, whole genome shotgun sequence.